rnacentral:SRP_RNA from 6 species
GACUCGGAUUCAUGCGAUUGUAACGCCCAAAUCUUGUCAGGACCGGAAGGUAGCAGCAAUACGGGAUGCUUGCGAUAGGCGUGGACUCCGGGUCUUU